AUUGAACGCUGGCGGCAGGCCUAACACAUGCAAGUCGAACGGUAACAGGAAGCAGCUUGCUGCUUCGCUGACGAGUGGCGGACGGGUGAGACAUGUCUGGGAAGCUGCCUGAUGGAGGGGGAUAACUACUGGAAACGGUAGCUAAUACCGCAGAAUGUCGCAAGACCAAAGAGGGGGAGCUUCGGGCGGCUUGCCAUCGGGUGUGCCCAGAUGGGAUUAGCUUGUUGGUGGGGGAACGGCUCAGCAAGGCGACGAGCCCGAGCUGGUCUGAGAGGAUGAGCGCCCACACUGGAACUGGGCCACGGUCCAGACUCCUACGGGAGGCAGCAGUGGGGAAUAUUGGACAAUGGUCGCAAGCCUGAUGCAGCCAUGCCGCGUGUAUGAAGAAGGCCUUCGGGUUGUAAAGUACUUUCAGCGGGGAGGAACGGAGUAAGGUUAAUACCUUGGCUCAUUGACGUUACCCGCAGAAGAAGCACCGGCUAACUCCGUG
rnacentral:rRNA from 1 species